rnacentral:rRNA from 1 species
UACGUAGGGUGCAAGCGUUGUCCGGAAUUAUUGGGCGUAAAGAGCUCGUAGGCGGUUUGUCGCGUCUGCUGUGAAAACUCGGGGCUUAACUCUGAGCUUGCAGUGGGUACGGGCAGACUAGAGUGCGGUAGGGGAGACUGGAAUUCCUGGUGUAGCGGUGAAAUGCGCAGAUAUCAGGAGGAACACCUAUUGCGAAGGCAGCUCGCUGGGACGUAACUGACGCUGGAGACGCGAAAGCGUGGGGAGCAAACAGG